UACGUAGGGCGCGAGCGUUGUCCGGAUUUAUUGGGCGUAAAGAGCUCGUAGGCGGUUUGUCGCGUCGUUCGUGAAAACUCACAGCUUAACUGUGAGCUUGCGGUCGAUACGGGCAGGCUAGAGUUCGGUAGGGGAGACUGGAAUUCCUGGUGUAGCGGUGAAAUGCGCAGAUAUCAGGAGGAACACCGGUGGCGAAGGCGGGUCUCUGGGCCGAUACUGACGCUGAGGAGCGAAAGCGUGGGGAGCGAACAGG
rnacentral:rRNA from 1 species